rnacentral:rRNA from 1 species
CGCGACCCCAGGUCAGGCGGGGCUACCCGCUGAGUUUAAGCAUAUCAAUAAGCGGAGGAAAAGAAACUAACGAGGAUUCCCCU